GUGGGGAAUUUUGGACAAUGGGCGAAAGCCUGAUCCAGCCAUGCCGCGUGCAGGAUGAAGGCCUUCGGGUUGUAAACUGCUUUUGUACGAAACGAAAAGCCUGGGGCUAAUAUCCCCGGGUCAUGACGGUACCGUAAGAAUAAGCACCGGCUAACUACGUGCCAGCAGCCGCGGUAAUACGUAGGGUGCAAGCGUUAAUCGGAAUUACUGGGCGUAAAGCGUGCGCAGGCGGUUUUGUAAGACAGUGGUGAAAUCCCCGGGCUAAACCUGGGAACUGCCAUUGUGACUGCAAGGCUAGAGUGCGGCAGAGGGGGAUGGAAUUCCGCGUGUAGCAGUGAAAUGCGUAGAUAUGCGGAGGAACACCGAUGGCGAAGGCAAUCCCCUGGGCCUGCACUGACGCUCAUGCACGAAAGCGUGGGGAGCAAACAGGAUUAGAAACCCCUGUAGUCC
rnacentral:rRNA from 1 species